rnacentral:rRNA from 1 species
GCAUCCGCCUGAGAACUACGAGCACAAACGCUUAAAACUCUAAGGACUUGGCGGUGCCCCAAACCCACCUAGAGGAGCCUGUUCUAUAAUCGAUAAUCCACGAUACACCCGACCGUUCCUUGCCAAAGCAGCCUACAUACCGCCAUCUUCAGCAAAC